UGGGCAACCUGCCCUCAGCUCUGGGAUAACCCCGGGAAACCGGGCUAAUACCGGAUACGACCUCCGCGGGCAUCUGCGGAGGUGGAAAGGUUUUUCCGGCUGAGGAUGGGCCCGCGGCCUAUCAGCUAGUUGGUGUGGGUAAUGGCCCACCAAGGCGACGACGGGUAGCCGGCCUGAGAGGGUGACCGGCCACACUGGGACUGAGACACGGCCCAGACUCCUACGGGAGGCA
rnacentral:rRNA from 1 species